GAUGAACGCUGGCGGCGUGCCUAAUACAUGCAAGUCGAGCGAACGGACGAGAAGCUUGCUUCUCUGAUGUUAGCGGCGGACGGGUGAGUAACACGUGGAUAACCUACCUAUAAGACUGGGAUAACUUCGGGAAACCGGAGCUAAUACCGGAUAAUAUUUUGAACCGCAUGGUUCAAAAGUGAAAGACGGUCUUGCUGUCACUUAUAGAUGGAUCCGCGCUGCAUUAGCUAGUUGGUAAGGUAACGGCUUACCAAGGCAACGAUGCAUAGCCGACCUGAGAGGGUGAUCGGCCACACUGGAACUGAGACACGGUCCAGACUCCUACGGGAGGCAGCAGUAGGGAAUCUUCCGCAAUGGGCGAAAGCCUGACGGAGCAACGCCGCGUGAGUGAUGAAGGUCUUCGGAUCGUAAAACUCUGUUAUUAGGGAAGAACAUAUGUGUAAGUAACUGUGCACAUCUUGACGGUACCUAAUCAGAAAGCCACGGCUAACUACGUGCCAGCAGCCGCGGUAAUACGUAGGUGGCAAGCGUUAUCCGGAAUUAUUGGGCGUAAAGCGCGCGUAGGCGGUUUUUUAAGUCUGAUGUGAAAGCCCACGGCUCAACCGUGGAGGGUCAUUGGAAACUGGAAAACUUGAGUGCAGAAGAGGAAAGUGGAAUUCCAUGUGUAGCGGUGAAAUGCGCAGAGAUAUGGAGGAACACCAGUGGCGAAGGCGACUUUCUGGUCUGUAACUGACGCUGAUGUGCGAAAGCGUGGGGAUCAAACAGGAUUAGAUACCUUGGUAGUCCACGCCGUAAACGAUGAGUGCUAAGUGUUAGGGGGUUUCCGCCCCUUAGUGCUGCAGCUAACGCAUUAAGCACUCCGCCUGGGGAGUACGACCGCAAGGUUGAAACUCAAAGGAAUUGACGGGGACCCGCACAAGCGGUGGAGCAUGUGGUUUAAUUCGAAGCAACGCGAAGAACCUUACCAAAUCUUGACAUCCUUUGACAACUCUAGAGAUAGAGCUUUCCCCUUCGGGGGACAAAGUGACAGGUGGUGCAUGGUUGUCGUCAGCUCGUGUCGUGAGAUGUUGGGUUAAGUCCCGCAACGAGCGCAACCCUUAAGCUUAGUUGCCAUCAUUAAGUUGGGCACUCUAAGUUGACUGCCGGUGACAAACCGGAGGAAGGUGGGGAUGACGUCAAAUCAUCAUGCCCCUUAUGAUUUGGGCUACACACGUGCUACAAUGGACAAUACAAAGGGCAGCGAAACCGCGAGGUCAAGCAAAUCCCAUAAAGUUGUUCUCAGUUCGGAUUGUAGCCUGCAACUCGACUACAUGAAGCUGGAAUCGCUAGUAAUCGUAGAUCAGCAUGCUACGGUGAAUACGUUCCCGGGUCU
rnacentral:rRNA from 1 species